CCCGCCCGUCCGGAAUGUAGCGAGCCGCUGGCGGAGUUUGAUACAAAGUUGCUGCGACGCGCCGGGGCCGGGACCCCCCCGGGAGACAGAGCCAGGUGCCCCCGGCCCAGCGCCCCCGUCAGCCCGGAGCAGGUGGGAUCCGGGCUGUCCUGGGACCGGAGCAGGAAUGGCCGAGAACUCGGACUCGCGGGACUCGGAUAACAGCUGGGUGAUCGCAGGCUCCGAGGGUUUGCCCGUGGAAACCGUGGGCCCAGAGCUGGGCACAGUCGCCCAGACUCCAGUGGACGAGGAACCAGCAGGACACGCCCUCCCCAAGGGGCACAGCGCCGAGG
rnacentral:lncRNA from 1 species